CGGGAGGCAGCAGUGGGGAAUUUUGGACAAUGGGCGAAAGCCUGAUCCAGCAAUGCCGCGUGUGUGAAGAAGGCCUUCGGGUUGUAAAGCACUUUUGUCCGGAAAGAAAACCUCCGCCCUAAUAUGGUGGGGGGAUGACGGUACCGGAAGAAUAAGCACCGGCUAACUACGUGCCAGCAGCCGCGGUAAUACGUAGGGUGCAAGCGUUAAUCGGAAUUACUGGGCGUAAAGCGUGCGCAGGCGGUCCGCUAAGACAGAUGUGAAAUCCCCGGGCUUAACCUGGGAACUGCAUUUGUGACUGGCGGGCUAGAGUAUGGCAGAGGGGGGUAGAAUUCCACGUGUAGCAGUGAAAUGCGUAGAGAUGUGGAGGAAUACCGAUGGCGAAGGCAGCCCCCUGGGCCAAUACUGACGCUCAUGCACGAAAGCGUGGGGAGCAAACAGGAUUAGAUACCCUGGUAGUCCACGCCCUAAACGAUGUCAACUAGUUGUCGGGUCUUCAUUGACUUGGUAACGUAGCUAACGCGUGAAGUUGACCGCCUGGGGAGUACGGUCGCAAGAUUAAAACUCAAAGGAAUUGACGGGGACCCGCACAAGCGGUGGAUGAUGUGGAUUAAUUCGAUGCAACGCGAAAAACCUUACCUACCCUUGACAUGUAUGGAACCUG
rnacentral:rRNA from 1 species